AACAUACCCUUUGGUACGGAAUAGCCUCUGGAAACGGAGAGUAAUACCGUAUGUGGUCGUAAGACGAAAGAUUUAUCGCCAAAGGAUUGGCCCGCGUUGGAUUAGGUAGUUGGUGGGGUAAUGGCCUACCAAGCCGACGAUCCAUAGCUGGUUUGAGAGGAUGAUCAGCCACACUGGGACUGAGACACGGCCCAGACUCCUACGGGAGGCAGCAGUGGGGAAUCUUAGACAAUGGGCGCAAGCCUGAUCUAGCCAUGCCGCGUGAUC
rnacentral:rRNA from 1 species